ensembl:lncRNA
AAAAAAUAAAAAUAAAAAAGAAGAGAAAAAUAAAAAAGAAUGAAGUGUGUGUAGCCUUUACACACAGUGCAGCUUCUCUCUCCCAUGCUAUAUAUAUGUGAUAUAAAGAUGAGGGAGGAAGGCACUAAAACUCACUGAAGAAAUGGCUAAACCAAAUGGAAACUGCACCACACCUAGGGAAAAAAAAAAAAAAAAAAAAAAAGCAGUUUGAUUUCUCUCAGUUUUGCUCUCAAUCUUUGACCUGGAGGGAGCACAACCAGUGGAUGAAAUGGAGAAACUGAUAAUCAUCACACCGCAAAUAGAGCUUAGAAUAAAAGUAAAUUUCUCAUUUCAGUUCUGCUUAAGCAGGAUCAUAUUCACUCGUGGGUGUUAGUCCAGGCAUUAGUGAGAAGCCAUUGAAAAUCCUAUAUAACUGUUUGUUGAACGUCUCUUCUAUUUAUUUAGCAUUAAUUUUAUUUAUGCUAUUUAAUGCUUUCCAGCUUGCGCAUACCUCUGAGUGUCACCAUGAACGUAUGUACAUAAGAAGCACAUGCUGUCAGCUUCCAGCCAAAGUUCUACUUGUUCAGGCAUAAAUUACGAAACCAAAACUAAUGUGAUUACAAAUCCACCUUUUUUUUUUUUUUCCUAAUUACUUGAAGUCAGUAAGACUUGCAGGCACAAGUCAAGAUUUUAAAGUGUGCAUGUAAUGUGCUUUAAAUGCUGUCUAAAGCUACGUGACAGCUUUGCCUCAGAGUCUGUUAUCUGGGAGAUCAAGUCCUAUCCAGCCUUGAAAUCUAUGAAUUCCUUUACUACAGUGGUUCAAAAACAUACAGGUCUUCGGAUCAGAUUAUUGCUUUUGCUUCUUCCUCAAUAUCUACACUGUUUUAUUAAUUUAAAAUAACACAUGGAAGCUUUCCUUGUAGAAACCUAAUUUUUUUAACGUAGACAGUUAUUUAAAGCCCAACUCAUUUCCUGAAAAUUAGACAAUAACCCUUAUAGAGAUGGAUAACUGAAGGCAGAAGAUUGUUUGAAUGGCCAAAGGAUUGUAUUCAUUCAUGGCUGUUAGUCCAAACAUCAGUGAGAUGUCAGUAUGAACUCUACAUAACUCUUUGCAGAAUCUCUCUUCUAUUUAUUUAACAUUAAUUUUAUUAUGUUUUUUUAUGCUUUCCAGUCUCAUGCAUGUAUCCAGUUGUCAUCACAAAGCACGUACAGCCUCCAGCAAAUUAUUAAAUUUGGGGUAUGAUCUCAGGUACCUGUUGGAGAACUCUGUCUUGAUCUUAAAACUGUCUUUCCUUUCCUUGCAACCCAGAAAAGCCCAGCUCCAACAGUAAAGUGCAGGCUGCAUAUCAUUGUAAUCCCAAGCAGUGAUUUCAGUCAGAUUUCCCUCUUGCUUGCAGAUACGUUUGCUGUUGAUGCCUUGAUUCCUGUACUGCCUUGGAAUCUGAUCAUAACAAAAACACAUCUACUUCCCUGAAUUUCACCUGAAAUUUGCCUGGAAGCAGAAGCAGAAACUCUAAACAAUUUGGUCUUCUUUCUUCUAUCUCCAGACUGUAAUUUUUGAUUUAUUUUGCUUCUAGAUCCCAUUGCUUUCUUGUGUCCUGUAUCAGGAAAGCCUUUUUGUAUAGAAAUGAGCUUUUCCUCAAAUGUACUUGAAAGGAGUUACGAAUUUCUGUUGCUAGCCAUGGAUUUGGUCUGAGAUGAAGAAAAUGUAUUGCAUAGUAAUCUGAAUUAAGAUAUAACCAGAUGCAGUUGCAAAUACAAACUCUUUGGUGCCAGGUUUUCAAGACUGCUGUGCGCUUUAACUGGGGGAAGCAAUGGGACCUAUAGCCAGAAAUGGCUAGCAGCAAGUCUUAUUCUCUUUGUUUUGGUGCAUGGGGACUGCUGGAAGACCAGUGCUGGGACUGCUUCCUUGAAUGGGG